rnacentral:lncRNA from 1 species
UUUUUUCUUCUUCUUCGCUAAUUGCAACCGAGAAAUUAAACUCCAAUCCAUCAGAAAUCAAACUUCAAUCCAUCAGAAAUCAAACUCAUAAUUUGAACUCAGAAAUCAAACUCAUAAUUCAAACCUAGAUAUCAAACCUAGAAAUCAAAUCUAAAAAUCUAAUCCAGAAAUCUAACUCAUAAACCCAUAAAUUAAGCUCAAAUCCACCAAUCAAAUUUGAUUACAAACUAGAAAAAAUGAAUGAAAGUUCAUCUUUGCUCCCCAUUACCACCAUAAUACGUCUUGUUUAAUUGAAUCCAGGAUGCUACAUGAACGGCUAGCGCAUCUGAAACUGGAAUCUCAAAGUCUGUUACAGUCAGAGGAGGAGAUGCCGUAGAACAGAACAGAUCUCCUCGGCGUCACCUGAGGAGUGGUCCCAAUCGAUCUCGCCCUUGUGAGCUACAGAGAAUCUGCUCGACCAAUCUCAAUUAAAAAAAACAUCAUGCCAUUUUCUUUGUUAAAAAACAACAACACAUAUCAAAACAUCUUGCUGUUUUACUUCGACAAACGCUGCG